GUGGUAUAUUAUUGAACAGAAUGUAUGUUAGGUAUUGUGCAUUCAUCUUUAUUCGUUGGAUACCAAUUUUCGUGAGUUUCGUGGGUACAGUUAAAACACGAACUAAAGUGUUCAACGAAUAAAAUAUUUUCAAUAAACUUUGUAUACAGAUAUUGGCAAAACCAUGACGAAAAUGCUAGUUUUCAGCUAUCCACGAAAAUUGAUACCAACGAAAAUGAAUGAACCCACA
rnacentral:lncRNA from 1 species